UAGUUAUGCUGCCCCAUUAUAUGUGUCUUUAAAUCUUUUUUACAAGGGUGGAGAGACACCAGCGUACCAAGAUGUUUUUGAAACUUUCUCUAGUAUGAGAACUGGGUUUUGUAUGACUAGGUUCUUUGCUUCGUGAUUCUAAGUGCCUAAGUUAUCUUUUGUCAAUUUUCCUUCGUUGCCCUGCUGUGUGUGCUGGGUUGAAUGUUCAUACAUGGUUCGCUAUUCAUCUAUGAUUUGGUAGCGUUAUCUAUGCUCCCUUACCGUUGAUGUGCGGUGCCAAAUCCCUACUACCUCCGUUCACAAACAUAAGAUGUUCUGGCUUUUUCCUGAAUCGGAUGUAUUACAUUGAAAUAUCCAAUACAUCUUUAUAUUUAUGAAAAUCCCUGCA
rnacentral:lncRNA from 1 species